rnacentral:rRNA from 1 species
AUCGUCUCUCCUUCUCCUUCACCCAGCGCCUCCUCCAUCUCCCGGCUCGUCCCCAAGCAACUGCCCUCGAGGAGUUCCCCGUCCUCGUCGCCGGACGCCGCCGCUCCUACCAAAUCCAGCCGCCGCCGGAUCUGCCUCCACCGGACCAGAUCCGUCCGGAUCCGGCUGCCCUCGACCAUCCUCGACCUUAUAUUCUCCUCCAGUCGCCUGAUUGAUGCGCCGCCGACGGAUCUGCCUCCGCUGGACCGGAUCCGUCCGGAUCCGGACGCCCUCGACCGCCCUCGGCCUCGUCUGCGACUCCUCCGUCCGGAUUCUGCUGUCCUCGACCGUCCCCGGCCUAGUUUGCUCCUCCCGUCGUGUGAUUUGAUGCCCCACCUAUUCGAUUUCUUCGAUUUCGUGGUGUUGCAAUCUGCUUUUCUUUGAUCGAUUAUUUGAUAGACCGAAUCCUUCCCUUGUGAUUAUCCUCAUCUCUGUGUCCUGAUUUCUGUGGUCGCUUGUUGAAUCAUCAACGUCUACCUAUAUGAACCAGUCAGAUUAGGUGUAAAGAAACGAUGUGGUAUUAUUACUUAGCCAAGUCAUAUAAUUUUUUCGGCAUGAUCCUAGGAAGGCAAGGAGAAAGCCUAUCAGCAUAUGAAGCCCAGUACGGGCGGCGUGGAGGACGCGUCACGAAUCUGAAAUAUGGAACACUUUUUUUUCACUUAUAUGCUGGACUGCGGGUUAAUUAGUUAAAACCAUAAGGGGCUUUUUGCAAAUAGUGCAUGGUGCCCUUUAGUACCACCUCGUCACCUCGUACGUGACUUUAGUACCACCUCGCCAUCUCGCACGUGACCAAAACUAAUGGUAGAAAAAAAAAUCAAUUGCGGGACGAAACUAAGAAUAUCACCUUGCUUUAAUAGUAGGUAUAGAUAAGAUCCCGUGCAUCUGCACGGGCUAGUCAUUUUUCAGUCGUUUAUCUAUCAAAUUCAUGAUAUUAUAUAGCCAUGCAUAUACACUUUUUUGAUACAUUAUUUUACACAAUAUUGGUUGUAGGUGAAUUUAAGAUAUUGUAUACACUUGUUGAAUAUUAGAAUGCCAAGACAGCCUAAGAUAGAGUUAUAGGUUUUGAAUUUGAUUAUUUUUUAUUUCCUAUUUUGAACUUUGAGCUUAGAUAUAUGGAAGGACGACAUGAGAACAUUCCCUUUUUCAUUGGAUGUCUUUGAUCCCAUAUUGGAAGCAUCUUUACCAGCUCCCAAUCCUUCGUAACAAAAAGACAACUCUUAUUUCCACUUCUUCAUCAUGCCCAAGAAUGGAGCAAUGUAGGUAGAAUUUUUCUGGAAAGCCCAAUUUUUUUGUACCAAUCAAUGUAAUGACACAACAAUAGUACUAAAUAAUGUGACAGACUGGUAGAUAGGUGGGCAUCUUUAUUUUAAAAACUAUCCAUAGGGUAGCUCUGUUUCGUCGACAAUUAUACGCAAGUAAGAGAGAAUGUUUACAGGGCUGAAACUAAUAAAAAUAUAUACAAAAUGCAUGGAUUUGUGCAAUCUGAACAAAACAAAUGCAAUAUAGAGUAGGCAGAUUUACAUGCUUGCUACUUCCUCUUGUUGCUCAUUCUGAUUAGAACCCCGAGCUUUGACAACUUUGUAAUUCAAUAUGUUUUGUCAAACAUUUAGACCUUUCGCCUUGAAAGACACAUUACCUCAGAAAGUGGGAAGAUUCUGAAUUCAUAUCCUUGAUCAUGAGAAAAUAUAUUUGAUUGGACCUGAAUGUGGACGUAGAAAUGAUGCAUGCUUAAUUGCAACACAACUAUUACCUUUUUAAUUCUAAAAGACCACAUAUUGAUUCUAAAUUCAUUGAUAGAAAUCUUAUUCAGAAAGAAACGAAUGUUUCAGCUAGUCCGAUAAAAGUUUUAAGGACAAAAUGGUAAACUUUUUAUAGAACAGGCUUGUAAUACACAUAAUUAAAGAGGAGAUGUUAGUUUACCUGCAAUUUUGUGAUAAAUGAGUGGCAUGAUUCGAAAUAGUCACACUUAGUCACAGAGACACUAUAAUAUUAGGACAUGAUCCACA